rnacentral:rRNA from 1 species
GUGGGAAUUUGGAAUGGGCGAAGCCUGAUCAUCCAUGCCGCGUGAGUGAAGAAGGCCUUCUGGUUGUUAGCUCUUUUUUUAGGGAGGUUAACGUUUCCACUUGUGGAAAGCUGAACGGACUGUACCAUGAACUCCGCCUCGCCCUAUGCCGUGCCCCGCGCCGCUAUAAUAA